rnacentral:sRNA from 1 species
CCCCCUUAGGCUGGGGCUGCUGUGGCAGAUUGGGAGGGCUGUGGCACAUUGCAGGGGACUAUGGCAGGUUAAGUGUGCUGCAGCAGGUGCGGAGGUAUGUCCCUGCCCUGUGCUGGUGCUGAGAGCUGCAGGCAGGCCCCGUCCCACUACACUGCUGUGAUGGAGGAGGGAAAGAGGGCCCCAGCGGCCCCACCCUCCAGCUCCCUCCUCCCCCAGAGUGGCGCCAGGGCCGCAUGGCGCGCAUCAUCCUGCAGGACGAGGACGUCACUACCAAGAUUGACAACGAUUGGAAGAGGCUGAACACACUGGCUCACUACCAGGUGACAGACGGGUCCUCGGUGGCACUGGUGCCCAAGCAGACGUCCGCCUACAAUAUCUCCAACUCCUCCACCUUCACCAAGUCCCUCAGC